rnacentral:rRNA from 1 species
UACAGAGGGUGCGAGCGUUGUCCGGAAUCACUGGGCGUAAAGGGCGCGUAGGCGGUCUGGUAAGCGUGUGGUGAAAGCUUCGGGCUCAACCCGGAGUCGGCCGUGCGAACUGCGAGACUGGAGCAUGUCAGAGGCAGGCGGAAUUCCGGGUGUAGCGGUGGAAUGCGUAGAGAUCCGGAAGAACACCGGUGGCGAAGGCGGCCUGCUGGGACAUUGCUGACGCUGAGGCGCGACAGCGUGGGGAGCAAACAGG